CGUUCACACCCGGGUUUAGAGGCACUUCGGCCUCGGAAACUGACGCACCCACCCCAAAAGUUUACCCUGUUGGGGCUUUUUGAGCGAAAAACCGAGGGGCAUUCUCAGCUCGGGCUCUCGUUGCCAUUUUCUGCGCCGGUUCGCAGCGGGCGGCGGCAGCGCAGCCCCCGGCCCCUCGCCUCCCCCCGGCUCGCCGCAGCCAGGUGCGGGGCCGCGCACAGGCGCGGGGGCGAGCCCGGGCGGCCGCUGCGGCUCCGCUUCAGCACAGACAGCUCCCGGCCGGCGGCCGUGCGCGAAAUGGCGACCUGCCGGCACCGGGGCGCGGCGGCACGGCACGGCACGGCACGGGAUGGACCCGGCGGGGGGACGAUGCCGGCGCCCCUCCGCGACGCGAUGGGCUGCGGCCACCCGCACCUGCGGCCACCAACAAAGCCCCGCGGCCACCGCCGCCGCCACGUCCCCGCCAGGACUUCAGAUAUUCCAAGCUGCUGUGAAAAUUCACUGCUGCCAAGCUGCUGCCAGAAAUUCACAGGGCUGAAACUUCCUUCAGGAAUUUGAUGUUUGAAUGCAAAAUGGAAGGAGAGGAUCACGUUCUUUGAGGAGCAGAUGGAGAGAAGGAGCUGCCAGUGCUAUCACCUGUCCCAUCUUCCAUUAGCUUGAUCUUUACAGUGCUGAGGAAUGAAGCAGGAAGUCUAGGUUCAGUUGUCUCAUUUGAUUCAUUUCUCACACACCAUGGACAGUUGUAAUUACAGGAUGAUAUUACCACCUUGGUUUUGUGUGCAGCUUAAUCAAUCAGAUGAAAGUGCUUUGAAAAUGCUUAAGAGAGGAAUUUGGGGUUGUAAAAAUUGAGAUGAACACCCAAAAAUGCCAAAAUAUGCAGGCCACAGUACUUUUUUGGCCAUGCUCAAAAGAUGAUCUCAAGGGACAUAAAGGACCUUUGGAACUUGUCAGGAACUUGAGAGAAAAAGGAUUACAUAAAAUACAUAUUUAAUGUGAUCUGUAGCUUGCUACAGAAACUACAGCCAUUUUUGACAGAUGUAUGAUGAAAUGGCAACGUGAUGAAAUGGCUCAAAUCAAUGGGAAUUGGAUAUUGAUUUCAACAGGAUCAAUUUUAUCUGGCAUAUAAUCAAAGGAAGGAAGUCCUUCACACAACAGACUAAACUUUAUGAAAACACCAAACAUGGUUUGAGUGAAUGAUGGGUGUUCCCAUUUUUCCUUUAGAUUGGCUGAGUCUGUGAAAAAUCUUUUACAAGCCUAAUUCAUGGUGCAUGAUUCUUGAAAAGCUGCUUCCUCAAAGAUCCAAAGUCUACAGACACCAUGCAGCUUAUCCGAGGGACUUCUGAAGGGCUGAAUACUAAGGAGCUCCAUGUUCAAAACCAGGAGCUUAGAGUUAAGCUUGACCUUGUGAUUUAACCUGUUCCAUCCUUCUGCUAGAUGUCUCACGGGUUAAGAGAGUUCAGUGGGGAGUUCUCCACUGUGGAAAUGAGCUAGGAAUUAAUUCCAAAGUUCUGGAAAAUGGUUAAUAACGACUAUUAGAGCUAUAGCUAUAGCUGCUCUGAUGAAACUUGAUUCUAAUCCACCAAAUGUUCACAUACUUUAUUUUGCAUAUACAUAAUGUGAAUAAACUUAAUAAUUUGCACA
ensembl:lncRNA